rnacentral:rRNA from 1 species
CAGCCGCCGCGGUAAUACGAACCGUGCGAACGUUAUUCGGAAUCACUGGGCUUAAAGCGCGUGUAGGCGGGCCGCCACGUCGGCUGCUGAAAUCCCCCGGCUCAACCGGGGAAGUGGCACCGAUACGAGCGGCCUCGAGGGGGGUAGGGGGCACUGGAACUUCCGGUGGAGCGGUGAAAUGCGUUGAGAUCGGAAGGAACGCCCGUGGCGAAAGCGAGUGCCUGGACCCUUUCUGACGCUGAGGAGCGAAAGCGUGGGGAGCGAACAGGAUUAGAUACCCGCGUAGUCCCUGUCUCUUAUA